ACACUGAUGGUGAAACGGUAUCAUGCUUGCCUUCCACGCCUUGGGUAGCAAGCGGCGUGGGUUCGACUCCCGCUCAGUGUA